rnacentral:rRNA from 1 species
CCCUUAGAUGUUCUGGGCCGCACGCGUGCUACAAUGGUCCUACCAAUAAGUGAACCUAACCCGAUACGGUUGGGAAAACCCUAUAACGAGGACUAUGACGGGGCUUGUCUGUUGAAAUUCUUAGACCCAAACGAGGAAUCCCUAGUAAGCGUGAGUCAUGAUCUCACAUUGAUUACGUCCCUGCCCUUUGUACACACCGCCCGUCGCUCCUACCGAUUGAAUAUUCCGGUGAGAACUUUGGAGUUGUGGAAUUUGUUUCGUUCGCGAGCAUGAUCUGUCGGCAAAGCUGUUCGAACCUUAAUAUUUAGAGGAAGGAGAAGUCGUAACA